CUAGCUGCGGCAAGCGACGGUCCUCGUGAGAGGUCAAAAGGGAAUACCGGUGCGGGGUGCGUAACCCCAAGGCCGGAGCUGCCCCCGCAACUGUGAGCGGUUGAGGCGCGAACCAUGACAGCCACUGGAUCUUCCGCCCUCCCGGCGGCGAUCUGGGAAGGCGGUUCGCUUCAAUGAUCCGCAAGCCAGGAGACCUGCCCUCGCGAUGGAAGCCAUG
rnacentral:ncRNA from 1 species